rnacentral:rRNA from 1 species
UUGAUUACGUCCCUGCCCUUUGUACACACCGCCCGUCGCUGCCCGGGACUGAGCCAUUUCGAGAAAACCGGGGAUUGUUGGCCCGACGGCUCUCGGGUCGUCUAGCCGAUGAGAACCGGCUUAAUCGCACUGGUUUGAACCAAAAGUCGUAACAAGGUAGCUGUAGGUGAACCUGCUGCUGGAUCAUUA